UGUGAGCGGUGUGGGGGUCAGGUGUCGAGCCUGAGGUGUGGUUUCCAUACGCUGCCUUGGGUUCUCAUUUUACACCUGAAGAGGUUUUGCCCCUUUACCCUCACCAAAAGCAUGGCACCGCUUCAGCUGGAGGCAGAGCUCCAGAUCAAACAAAGCACUGCUCUGUCAGUGCUCCCAGAACUGACCCAAUCCUAGUGUGCGCGUACCAUUGUCUCCCGAGACUGACAGAUGCCAGACAGCCUGACCUGCACCUCCCCAGAAUUGGAACCACGCGGCGACACGGACUGCAACAACUGUGACUGGUCCACCCCCGAUGUGUGUGGGUGUGUUAAUAAACAUCACGCUGCUAUGAA
rnacentral:lncRNA from 1 species